AUUAUUUGGCAUUUUAUUUGAUGAAUGAUAAUCUGAAAUUUAUUUGAAAUUAAUUGAGUAUUGAAAUGACUUAUUUACCCUUGUGAGGGUGUAGGUGUGAAUAAUAAGCCAUGAGGGCAUUUUGGUCAUUUGACCCUUAUUUACUAUGUUUGAUUAAAAUUGAUUUUUGAUGAAAUGAAAAGCAAUUUUCUGGUUUUGCUUUCCUCUUGGCCGACCCCCUCUCUCUCCCAAACCCUCUUGUUAUUUCAAGUUGAAUUUGAAGAAAAUUGGUGUGAAUUGGAGCUAAUUUUUGGAGCUUGAUUGUGGGGAUUAUUCUUGCUUAGUCUUGAGGAUUACCGGCACCUGGUCAGGAGCACCCGGGGAUUUGGAAUCUCUACUAUUGCGGGACAACAGGAAAGGGUAAGGCAUUAGCUGAUCAGCCAUGAGUUUCAGGAGCAGGGCGAAGAAUGUACAUGUUCAUGCCACUUCAGACCAAGCGGGUUAUGGGUCUAACAGUGUUGACUUUUGUAUUAUGUUUUGCCGCUUAGG